GGCAUGUGAUGUCUUCUUCUCACGAUGGUCUUCAGAUGCCUGCUUAGGGCACUGUUGAGAAAGCCACUUGGCAUAUCUGAUGUCAGAAG